rnacentral:tRNA from 1 species
ACCCGGCUGGCGCAAUCAGAAGAGCAUGUGACUUGUGAUCUCCGGGUCAUGAGUUCGAGCCCCAUGUUGGGUG